rnacentral:rRNA from 1 species
AUUGAACGCUGGCGGCAUGCUUUACACAUGCAAGUCGAACGGUAACAGGUUAAGCUGACGAGUGGCGAACGGGUGAGUAAUGCAUCGGAACGUGCCCAGUCGUGGGAGAUAACGCAGCGAAAGCUGUGCUAAUACCGCAUACGAUCUAUGGAUGAAAGCGGGGGACCGUAAGGCCUCGCGCGAUUGGAGCGGCCGAUGUCAGAUUAGGUAGUUGGUGGGGUAAAGGCCCACCAAGCCAACGAUCUGUAGCUGGUCUGAGAGGACGACCAGCCACACUGGGACUGAGACACGGCCCAGACUCCUACGGGAGGCAGCAGUGGGGAAUUUUGGACAAUGGGCGCAAGCCUGAUCCAGCAAUGCCGCGUGCAGGAAGAAGGCCUUCGGGUUGUAAACUGCUUUUGUACGGAACGAAACGGUCCGGGUUAAUACCCUGGGCUAAUGACGGUACCGUAAGAAUAAGCACCGGCUAACUACGUGCCAGCCGCCGCAGUAACAC